UCAAAUUUAUGAUAUUUGUUAUUUCAACUUUGUAGGACAUAGAUUUGCUGGGAAAGGCUGGUGAUACUAUCAAAGUUGCCCCUGGAUAUUUUCGCAACCAUCUCUUGCCAAAACUUCUUGCUCUCCCUAACAUUGAUAAGUUUGCUUAUCUCCUCACCGAACAGCGCAUGGUUUUCUUUUGGUCCAUAAUAUAUGUUUUCCUUACUUAUCUAUACUAUUAGUCAAUCAUCUUUAGGCAUUUUAUUACGAUCUUCUCGAGCGCUGUUGUUAAAUACUAUAGUAGAAUUUGAACAAAUUGCUAUUUUUCUACAAUAAGUUAUUUAAUAUAAAAUAUUGUCAAAUAGCAUAAUUUGAACAACUGUUAUUCUUCAAUUUGUAAUUGACAACAUUUUUUUGAGUAACUUUUUAAACUCCUGAUAUGAUAAUGUUAUUGAAUAUUUGAAACAUGGUUUUAUAUUGCAGUUCGCAAUCGUAAUUGUGGCUGUAAUAUUGCGAAUUUUGAAGUUGUCGCAACGGUUUCGCAGCUGCAAUUUAGGCCACAUUUAUUCGCAUUUUCCCUCAAUAUUAAGAUUUAUCAACCUACUGAAGAAGUAAAACAAGAAGAUGUUAUUCUUGUUAGUGAGUCAAAGGAGAUACGAUGAAAGAGUAUGAAAAGGCAGCCCUGCGUCUUGAUAAAACUAAGCUGGUCUUGUGGAGGUUAAUUGUUGUUCAAAAGGCAAAGUUGCGUGAAUCAAAAGAUGACCCCUUGGAGUUACGUAUACCAGUGACAAAAAAAGCUCUUGUGGCUGAGAUAAUGUUUGUUUGUCUUUGUCAUUGUUUAAAUGUUUUCUUGAUAGCAUCUUAGUAACAAAUUAAGAGUUAUAGUUUAAAAAAUAAAUAAAUAAAUGCAACUGAUUAAUGCCUUGAGAGAAACUUCCUUCGCCUGUUCAAUCUCUUUGAUUUGUUGAUUAUUCAGACCAACAAAAUCUCAACCUCUUGGAAACAAUUCUGUUAUUUUGGGACAAUUCAAAUGUCAGUCUGAGUGUCGAUGCCUAUUGGACUCACACUUUUACAAUUUCUAUUGCAAGACAACUCUUUGUGAACAUCACAGCUGAAAAUCUCCAUCUUCCAUCACUUUUGGAGAAUAUGAGGUGCCAUUGCCAAUGCGUUUACCAAUGUCCAUCCCGUUGCCAGAGGGCAAGCUUAAUUGGACUUUGAAAGUUAAAAUCCGAAGUAAAUAAAUUAGUUAUCUAGUUGAAUCCAAGUUCAUAAUGUUACACUGAUUAAUUCAACCAUAGGAUUGUAGAAGUGUAAGCCUUUUCUAAACAUUUAUUUUUUGAACAUGUAUUACCAUCCUUUUCGGUCUUAAACUCAACCAUCUUCCUAUAUUUAUUCCAAUUACGAUUUUGGGAGACCAAUUUGCAACUUACCUCAAUUAAAUUGUAUGUGACAUUCUUAGUAGGCAACAACUCGUUGCUAUUUUAUGUAAGGUUGUACAAUCAGGUCUAGUCAUAGUAAGGUAGUUCAACUUUCCAACCAACCUUUGAUAUCUACUUUGGUCUCAAAUCCUUUGUCUGGCA